AUUGAACGCUGGCGGCAGGCCUAACACAUGCAAGUCGAACGGUAACAGGAAGCAGCUUGCUGCUUUGCUGACGAGUGGCGGACGGGUGAGUAAUGUCUGGGAAACUGCCCGAUGGAGGGGGAUAACUACUGGAAACGGUAGCUAAUACCGCAUAACGUCGCAAGCCCAAAGAGGGGGACCUUAGGGCCUCUUGCCAUCGGAUGUGCCCAGAUGGGAUUAGCUAGUAGGUGGGGUAACGGCUCACCUAGGCGACGAUCCCUAGCUGGUCUGAGAGGAUGACCAGCCACACUGGAACUGAGACACGGUCCAGACGCCUAAGGGAGGCAGCAGUGGGGAAUAUUGCACAAAGGGCGCAAGCCUGAUGCAGCCAUGCCGCGUGUAUGAAGAAGGCCUUCGGGUUGUAAAGUACUUUCAGCGGGGAGGAAGGGAGUAAAGUUAAUACCUUUGCUCAUUGACGUUACCCGCAGAAGAAGCACCGGCUAACUCCGUG
rnacentral:rRNA from 1 species